rnacentral:rRNA from 1 species
UCCCAGACUCCUACGGGAGGCAGCAGUGGGGAAUCUUCCGCAAUGGGCGAAAGCCUGACGGAGCAACGCCGCGUGAGUGAAGAAGUAUUUCGGUAUGUAAAGCUCUAUCAGCAGGGAAGAAGAUGACAGUACCUGAGUAAGAAGCCCCGGCUAACUACGUGCCAGCAGCCGCGGUAAUACGUAGGGGGCAAGCGUUAUCCGGAUUUACUGGGUGUAAAGGGAGCGUAGACGGCAGUGCAAGUCUGGAGUGAAAGGCGGGGGCUCAACCCCCGGACUGCUCUGGAAACUGUACGGCUGGAGUGCAGGAGAGGUAAGUGGAAUUCCUAGUGUAGCGGUGAAAUGCGUAGAUAUUAGGAGGAACACCAGUGGCGAAGGCGGCUUACUGGACUGUAACUGACGUUGAGGCUCGAAAGCGUGGGGAGCAAACAGGAUUAGAUACCCUCGUAGC